rnacentral:sRNA from 1 species
UUGUAAUAGUAUUCAUGUUGCGACUGACUUAUAGAUUUGUUUGAUGGCUUAUUU